AUCGAAACCGCAUGGUUUUGAUUUGAAAGGCGCUUUCGGGUGUCACUGAUGGAUGGACCCGCGGUGCAUUAGCUAGUUGGUGAGGUAACGGCUCACCAAGGCCACGAUGCAUAGCCGACCUGAGAGGGUGAUCGGCCACAUUGGGACUGAGACACGGCCCAAACUCCUACGGGAGGCAGCAGUAGGGAAUCUUCGGCAAUGGACGAAAGUCUGACCGAGCAACGCCGCGUGAGUGAAGAAGGUUUUCGGAUCGUAAAACUCUGUUGUUAGAGAAGAACAAGGAUGAGAGUAACUGUUCAUCCCUUGACGGUAUCUAACCAGAAAGCCACGGCUAACUACGUGCCAGCAGCCGCGGUAAUACGUAGGUGGCAAGCGUUGUCCGGAUUUAUUGGGCGUAAAGCGAGCGCAGGCGGUUUCUUAAGUCUGAUGUGAAAGCCCCCGGCUCAACCGGGGAGGGUCAUUGGAAACUGGGAGACUUGAGUGCAGAAGAGGAGAGUGGAAUUCCAUGUGUAGCGGUGAAAUGCGUAGAUAUAUGGAGGAACACCAGUGGCGAAGGCGGCUCUCUGGUCUGUAACUGACGCUGAGGCUCGAAAGCGUGGGGAGCAAACAGGAUUAGAUACCCUGGUAGUCCACGCCGUAAACGAUGAGUGCUAAGUGUUGGAGGGUUUCCGCCCUUCAGUGCUGCAGCUAACGCAUUAAGCACUCCGCCUGGGGAGUACGACCGCAAGGUUGAAACUCAAAGGAAUUGACGGGGGCCCGCACAAGCGGUGGAGCAUGUGGUUUAAUUCGAAGCAACGCGAAGAACCUUACCAGGUCUUGACAUCCUUUGACCACUCUAGAGAUAGAGCUUCCCCUUCGGGGGCAAAGUGACAGGUGGUGCAUGGUUGUCGUCAGCUCGUGUCGUGAGAUGUUGGGUUAAGUCCCGCAACGAGCGCAACCCUUAUUGUUAGUUGCCAUCAUUCAGUUGGGCACUCUAGCAAGACUGCCGGUGACAAACCGGAGGAAGGUGGGGAUGACGUCAAAUCAUCAUGCCCCUUAUGACCUGGGCUACACACGUGCUACAAUGGGAAGUACAACGAGUUGCGAAGUCGCGAGGCUAAGCUAAUCUCUUAAAGCUUCUCUCAGUUCGGAUUGCAGGCUGCAACUCGCCUGCAUGAAGCCGGAAUCGCUAGUAAUCGCGGAUCAGCACGCCGCGGUGAAUACGUUCCCGGGCCUUGUACACACCGCCCGUCACACCACGAGAGUUUGUAACACCCGAAGUCGGUGAGGUAACCUUUUGGAGCCAGACGCCUAAGGUGGGAUAGAUGAUUGGGGUGAAGUCGUAACAAGGUAGCCGUAUCGGAAGGUGCGGCUGGAUCACCUCCUUUCUAAGGAA
rnacentral:rRNA from 1 species